rnacentral:rRNA from 1 species
GGUUAAGCGACUAAGCGUACACGGUGGAUGCCCUGGCAGUCAGAGGCGAUGAAGGACGUGCUAAUCUGCGAUAAGCGUCGGUAAGGUGAUAUGAACCGUUAUAACCGGCGAUUUCCGAAUGGGGAAACCCAGUGUGAUUCGUCACACUAUCAUUAACUGAAUCCAUAGGUUAAUGAGGCGAACCGGGGGAACUGAAACAUCUAAGUACCCCGAGGAAAAGAAAUCAACCGAGAUUCCCCCAGUAGCGGCGAGCGAACGGGGAGCAGCCCAGAGCCUGAAUCAGUGUGUGUGUUAGUGGAAGCGUCUGGAAAGGCGCGCGAUACAGGGUGACAGCCCCGUACACAAAAAUGCACAUACUGUGAGCUCGAUGAGUAGGGCGGGACACGUGGUAUCCUGUCUGAAUAUGGGGGGACCAUCCUCCAAGGCUAAAUACUCCUGACUGACCGAUAGUGAACCAGUACCGUGAGGGAAAGGCGAAAAGAACCCCGGCGAGGGGAGUGAAAAAGAACCUGAAACCGUGUACGUACAAGCAGUGGGAGCACGCUUAGGCGUGUGACUGCGUACCUUUUGUAUAAUGGGUCAGCGACUUAUAUUCUGUAGCAAGGUUAACCGAAUAGGGGAGCCGAAGGGAAACCGAGUCUUAACUGGGCGUUAAGUUGCAGGGUAUAGACCCGAAACCCGGUGAUCUAGCCAUGGGCAGGUUGAAGGUUGGGUAACACUAACUGGAGGACCGAACCGACUAAUGUUGAAAAAUUAGCGGAUGACUUGUGGCUGGGGGUGAAAGGCCAAUCAAACCGGGAGAUAGCUGGUUCUCCCCGAAAGCUAUUUAGGUAGCGCCUCGUGAAUUCAUCUCCGGGGGUAGAGCACUGUUUCGGCAAGGGGGUCAUCCCGACUUACCAACCCGAUGCAAACUGCGAAUACCGGAGAAUGUUAUCACGGGAGACACACGGCGGGUGCUAACGUCCGUCGUGAAGAGGGAAACAACCCAGACCGCCAGCUAAGGUCCCAAAGUCAUGGUUAAGUGGGAAACGAUGUGGGAAGGCCCAGACAGCCAGGAUGUUGGCUUAGAAGCAGCCAUCAUUUAAAGAAAGCGUAAUAGCUCACUGGUCGAGUCGGCCUGCGCGGAAGAUGUAACGGGGCUAAACCAUGCACCGAAGCUGCGGCAGCGACGCUGAUGCGUUGUUGGGUAGGGGAGCGUUCUGUAAGCCUGUGAAGGUGUGCUGUGAGGCAUGCUGGAGGUAUCAGAAGUGCGAAUGCUGACAUAAGUAACGAUAAAGCGGGUGAAAAGCCCGCUCGCCGGAAGACCAAGGGUUCCUGUCCAACGUUAAUCGGGGCAGGGUGAGUCGACCCCUAAGGCGAGGCCGAAAGGCGUAGUCGAUGGGAAACAGGUUAAUAUUCCUGUACUUGGUGUUACUGCGAAGGGGGGACGGAGAAGGCUAUGUUGGCCGGGCGACGGUUGUCCCGGUUUAAGCGUGUAGGCUGGUUUUCCAGGCAAAUCCGGAAAAUCAAGGCUGAGGCGUGAUGACGAGGCACUACGGUGCUGAAGCAACAAAUGCCCUGCUUCCAGGAAAAGCCUCUAAGCAUCAGGUAACAUCAAAUCGUACCCCAAACCGACACAGGUGGUCAGGUAGAGAAUACCAAGGCGCUUGAGAGAACUCGGGUGAAGGAACUAGGCAAAAUGGUGCCGUAACUUCGGGAGAAGGCACGCUGAUAUGUAGGUGAAGUCCCUCGCGGAUGGAGCUGAAAUCAGUCGAAGAUACCAGCUGGCUGCAACUGUUUAUUAAAAACACAGCACUGUGCAAACACGAAAGUGGACGUAUACGGUGUGACGCCUGCCCGGUGC